ACUUCCAAACCAAACACCACCAUCUUCCUUUCUACUUCAUCCCUUAUCAAUGAGGAACCUUCCACAAUGUAGCAUCGUAAUGACGGCAAGCCAACGUCACACUUUCUCGUAACAAAAUGAGACGCCACACGUCACCGUCCGCUUUUGUCCUGUGGACGUGCAUAAUUGGACAAAAUGACACGUCAAAUUGCUCCUUGCUACCCGGAUUCCAGAGCCAGCAGCGUCGCUCUCGGCCCUGGAGAGUCCAAGGGACCUGAGAUGACCAGCGGAUUUGGCCGGCUCCUCUCUGCGAGCCCGCCAGCUGCAGAACCUCUCAAAUCCCACCUGCAAUUUCUGAUGUCAGCUGAAACAAGUGAAACUAUGCACGUCCCAUGAAUGGAAACCAGCUAGCUGAGAAAAAAAAAAAAUAAUAAAAUAGAUUUGCAAGUCCGUAAUAGCGGGCAUUUUCUCUUUUGCUUGGUGUAAACAAACAAAAAUAGCUUCUUCACUCGUUCCGUGUUCGGUGCGAAAGCGUCCCUCUGUCGAAACGGAUUGGGAGCGACUGAAUUGUAUUCCCCCGUGCACACGGCUGGAAUUACCUGGAGGAAGACGAAGCCUGUAACUACCACCAUUAUCCUAAUAAGGCCAUUAUGCUGGACUGGCAUGUCUCGUGUUGUGCUGGGCCGUGCUGCUGAGGCUUGGAGUGGUUAAUCAUCCUGCCCUCCAGCCUGACCGCUCUUCCCUGUUCGCUGCCUACGCAGUCCCGCUCUGCGUUACCUGGCAGGACUGUCGCCGCCGUCACACACGCUGUAGAAAAGCUCAGGCUUCUGAUUCAGGAUGCUCAGGCUUGUCCCUGUUGUUUCGCUACAAAAUCAGAAGAUAUUAAAAAAAAAA